rnacentral:SRP_RNA from 1 species
GGCAAAUUACCAGCUCCUGCUGAAUCCCCCAGGUCUUGACCGAAGCAAGGGUACUGUGGUUGAGCGGUGAAUUUGCCUUUU